ACACCGUUCUGAGGCGCCCGCGGGCUUCUGGGAGGGAAAGGACCGGGGGCUCCCUGGCCCCCUCUCCGACUCCGUAGUUCCCGGUGUGUCGGCCGCAGUGCAUUCUGGGACUUGAAGUUCACGGCAGCCAGAUGGGUAAACCAACCUAGGACGAAGCUUCAGCAGAGUGAUACUGAGGUUAAACAAAUGAGUCAUAAAGAAGAGUGCGAUGUGAGCACAGGUGGCCCAUGGACAUACCAAGUACGUGAGUGCUGAAAGUCUGCAAAACACCGUUCUGGCAUCUGUGGGCUGGAGAACAGCAACAGGGAAUGAAGCCCUGCAUGGACUGGGUUCUUCAGGCCUUUGAAUUCAGCACGUGGAACAUUUGUGUCAAGCACACACCUGGCUGAUCCUUCCCCAACCCCCCAAGUGAACAUUCUCUGUGGUCAGCAGUGAAGGUUACAGAAAUUCAAUAAGGGAAGGCACUGCGAUGGGAGCAGGAGACAGUCUAGCUGGCAGGCUAAGCCGGGGCAUUGUCUUGAAGCCAGGGAUACCAAGCGCUGGAUGUUCGCUUGGGAAAACAUUGUCUCUUGACCAUAGCAAACAGUGGCGGAAGGAUCUUUUGGAAGCAAUGAGAGGCUUAAACCGCAAAGCAAGCUGUUCAUUGUCUUCACCUCUUUAAAUCUGUGUCAUUUAUCCAUGCAAGUCAGAAACUCAGAAAUGGUUUUGUCCUCCACACGCAUCUGCUCUACCUUUUUUUUUUUUUAAGAAAUUUUACAUUCCUAUGACAAAUGGAAGUUCCUGGGCCAGGGAUUCUGUCCAAGCCACAGCUGCUGUCCAAGCCACAGCUGCCACCCAUGCUGCAGCUGCUGCAAUAUCGGAUCCUUUAACCCACUGUUUGGGCUGAGGGAUGGAACCCAUGCCUCUGCAGCAACCCAAGCUGCCAUAGUCAGAUUCUUAACCUACUGCAUCAGAGCACAAACCCCUUGCUCUACAUUUUUUGAUGUCCUCCUUUGUGAGUAGAGGUUCUGUAAGGUAUGGGGAUACAACUCUAUAGGCUAAACACUAAUCUUGGUUUCAAGGAGUUCAAGGUCUAGGUGAGGGACCAACAUGUAAAAAUAAUGACACUAUAUUUUAAUUUUGAUCAAUAGUUAUGUAUUAUUUCUAUAACCCCACCACUACCCCAUGCUCCGUGAAUAAAUUCUCCCAACCUGAUCUUUUCAAGCCAAGUGAUAAGGCAUAAAUUAGCAUUGUGUGGGACAGUUGGAAGAAUCUAAGCUGGGAGUGAGAUCUACCUCGGUGAGAGUGCCAUCCCCAUGGAAUUUUAUUUUAUUUUAUUUUUUUGCUAUUGUAGGGUCACACUCUCCACAUAUGGCAAUUCCCAGGCUAGGCAAUACGCCACAGCCCCAGCAACCAGAUCCAAGCCUCGUCUGCAGCCUACACCACAGCUCGUGGCAACACUGGAUCCUUUAACCCACUGAGCGAGGCCAGGGAUCGGACCCGCAUCCUCAUGGAUCUUACUGGUUCUUUAACUGCUGAGCCAUGAAGGGAAUGCCUCCAUCGAAUUUUAAACUGGAGGUCUUCGAACUGGAACUACAUGUAUCCCUGGGCAUGAAGCCUUUUCAAGGGGGAAUCAACCUUGAUGUGUUCUUAUUCCUAAAACUAAUAUGCCUGAGAACACACCAACGUAAGAGAUCCUGCCAAUUUCUCUGUUCCAAUCAUCUUUCUUCCACUUUGCAAAAGAUAAGUCAUUACUGUCUCCGCCUUGCUGUGAUGUAUGUUAUUACUUUAGAAUCCUAAGUUUGGCUGAAAAUAAAGGCAUAAUUCAAAA
rnacentral:lncRNA from 1 species